UACGGGGGGGGCAAGCGUUGUUCGGAAUUACUGGGCGUAAAGGGUUUGUAGGUGGCCAACUAAGUCAGACGUGAAAUCCCUCAGCUUAACUGGGGAACUGCGUCUGAGACUGGAUGGCUUGAGUGCAGGAGAGGAACGCGGAAUUCCAGGUGUAGCGGUGAAAUUCGUAGAUAUCGAGAGGAACACCGGUGGCGAAGGCGGCCUUCUGGACAGUUACUGACGCUGAGACGCGAAAGCGUGGGGAGCAAACAGG
rnacentral:rRNA from 1 species